rnacentral:rRNA from 1 species
GACGAACGCUGGCGGCGUGCUUAACACAUGCAAGUCGAACGAAGAGCGACGGAAGCUUGCUUCUAUCAAUCUUAGUGGCGAACGGGUGAGUAACGCGUAAUCAACCUGCCCUUCAGAGGGGGACAACAGUUGGAAACGACUGCUAAUACCGCAUACGAUCUAACCUCGGCAUCGAGGAUAGAUGAAAGGUGGCCUCUACAUGUAAGCUGUCACUGAAGGAGGGGAUUGCGUCUGAUUAGCUAGUUGGAGGGGUAACGGCCCACCAAGGCGAUGAUCAGUAGCCGGUCUGAGAGGAUGAACGGCCACAUUGGGACUGAGACACGGCCCAGACUCCUACGGGAGGCAGCAGUGGGGAAUCUUCCGCAAUGGACGGAAGUCUGACGGAGCAACGCCGCGUGAGUGAUGACGGCCUUCGGGUUGUAAAGCUCUGUUAAUCGGGACGAAAGGCCUUCUUGCGAAUAGUGAGAAGGAUUGACGGUACCGGAAGAGAAAGCCACGGCUAACUACGUG